CAAAACGACUCUCGGCAACGGAUAUCUCGGCUCUCGCAUCGAUGAAGAACGUAGCGAAAUGCGAUACUUGGUGUGAAUUGCAGAAUCCCGUGAACCAUCGAGUCUUUGAACGCAAGUUGCGCCCGAAGCCAUCCGGCCGAGGGCACGCCUGCCUGGGCGUCA
rnacentral:rRNA from 1 species